rnacentral:lncRNA from 1 species
GUUUGAUUAAUUUGCUGGGGGGUGCUCACAGAACUCAGGGAAACACAUGUUUACAUUUACCAGUUUGCUCCAAGGAUAUUGCAAAGGACACAGAUGAAGGGCUGCGUGGGGCAGGGCAUGGGGAAGAUGUGGAGUCCUGUGCCCUCCCUGGGCACCCCCCUCCAAGAGCCUCUGCAUGUUCCGCCAUCCAGAAGCUCCCUGAACCCUGUCCUCUUGGAUUUUUAUGGGCGCUUCUUGAUGUCAGCUUUCUUCCCCGCUGGUGGGGAUGGGGCCUUCUCUGAGGAGGAUCGUAUGAGCAACAGGAAAGGCUGGAGGAGAGAGAUGUUUUGCCUGGCAGCUGAAAGGCGGACAGAAAGGACAGGAGAAGGUUGGGGAAGUUCUGUUUCCUGAGGCCUGACGCACCCGACCUUCUAACAGAAGACUGUAACAGGGCUGUGGGGUACACAAGCCAGGUGCCGUGGAGGAAAGCCUGUAGAUAGAUCCACAUCACGGCACCACCACUUCUCCCCGUGGUUCACAGGCCCUCCCCAAGCAUCCCAGGGCCCUCUGCUGUGAAGGCGGCUCCCCCUGCCUCGCUACCUGGGCCCCCGCUCCCCUGUGCAGUGUGCUUAUUUCAGUGCUGGUCUGACUUGCUCUUUGUGGUGGUAAGCUCCAUGAAGGCAGGACCAUGCUCAGGGAGUUUCCUGUCCUUCACUGCCCCAGGGAUGUGGCAAAUACUUAAUCAGUGUUUGCCUAUGGAGUGAACAGGUCCAUGAAUGGUCUUGGAAAAUGAUGUAUCCCAGCACCAUGGUGGUGGUCAUUCAUACGUGUUCUCAUGACUUCUUUGCUUUUCCUAAUGGUGAGUUCGGUAGGCCAAUUCAUUUCUUGCUGAAAAGUGUGGUAAAGGCAAGUCUCCUAACUGGACCAAGACUACAGCCUGCAGAACGCGCAGGGCCUGGGCAUGGGGAAGCACGGAUGAGGAGCCUGCUGCUGAUGCUGAGCAGGAGCCGUGGAGGGGUCUACACCACUCUGCUGACUCUGCGUGAUGAGGAUUCAAAAUGCCAUUCACGCAAAACAAAUUUAGCAACUAAGAAGUAGAGCGGCGCGCUGCUUUAGAAGCACUAUGUGUUAGCAGGUGUGGUACACACCUGACUUUGCUUCUGUGGCUGAGGAAGGGGAAUGAGUCUUCUGUGCGUAAAUCUUUCCACAAGCACCAUCCUGGGUGUCCUGCCUGACCAGACUUGUGAGCCAGGGCCAGGUUGAAGCAUGUGCCCAGGUGAAAAUUAUGCAUUAUUUAUUCAUGUGAGCAACUCUGCGCCUAUUUUGAAACAUUCACUGCUUUGUUUUGUUUGUUUUGUCUAAUUGCAUGAAAGAUGUGGUAGGCAGAAUAAUGCCCCCCAACAAAAGGUGUCCACUUCUUAAUCCCUGGAACCUGUGAAUAUGUUACCUUACUAGCAAAAGGGACUUUACAGAUAUGACUAAGGCUAAGGACCUUGAGUUGCAGAAAUUAUCCUGGACCAUCCAGGCAGGCCUGGAGACAUGAGUCCUCUAAAAACAGAGACUCUUUCCCAGCUGUGCUCAGAACCAGAGGUGACCACCAAAGAGAGAUCAGAGCCAUGCCAUGUGAAAAGGACUUGACUUGCCAUUGCUGGCUUUCCAGAUGAUGAAGGGGCCUCAAGCCAAGGAAUGUGGGCAGCUUCUAGAAGAUGGAAAAGGCAAACAAAUAUUCUCCCCUAGAGCUCUGGGAAGGAACACAGCUCUGCCACCUCCUUGAUUUUCACCCAGUGAAAUUAGUUUUGGAUUCCCAACCUGUAGAACUGUAAAGUAACAAAUUUGUGUUUUAAGGCCAGGUGUGGUGGCUCACGCCUGUAAUCUCAGCACUUUGGUUUUGGAAGGCCGAGGUGGGAGAAUCAUUUGAGGCCAGGAGUUCGAAACCAGCUUGGGCAACAUAGUGAGACUCCAUCUCUACACC